rnacentral:tRNA from 1 species
GGGGUCGUGGUGUAGCUUGGUUAACACGCUGGCCUGUCAAGCCGGAGAUCGCGGGUUCAAGUCCCGUCGGCCCCG